rnacentral:rRNA from 1 species
AACGAACGCUGGCGGCAGGCUUAACACAUGCAAGUCGAACGCCCCGCAAGGGGAGUGGCAGACGGGUGAGUAACGCGUGGGAAUCUACCCAUCCCUACGGAAUAACGCAUGGAAACGUGUGCUAAUACCGUAUACGCCCUACGGGGGAAAGAUUUAUCGGGGAUGGAUGAGCCCGCGUUGGAUUAGCUAGUUGGUGGGGUAAAGGCCUACCAAGGCGACGAUCCAUAGCUGGUCUGAGAGGAUGAUCUGCCACAUUGGGACUGAGACACGGCCCAAACUCCUACGGGAGGCAGCAGUGGGGAAUAUUGGACAAUGGGCGCAAGCCUGAUCCAGCCAUGCCGCGUGAGUGAUGAAGGCCUUAGGGUUGUAAAGCUCUUUCACCGGAGAAGAUAAUGACGGUAUCCGGAGAAGAAGCCCCGGCUAACUUCGUG